rnacentral:antisense_RNA from 1 species
AGUUAUGGCGGGCCGUGCGCGGGAGGCUUCGGCCUGCCGGGUUCGCCUGCGUUCCCCGGUCUCUCACCCUGCGUACGGUCCGCCCCCAAC